GGGGAAUUUUCCGCAAUGGGCGAAAGCCUGACGGAGCAAUACCGCGUGAGGGAAGAAUGCCUGUGGGUUGUAAACCUCUUUUUUUAGGGAAGAAAAUUUGACGGUACCUAAAGAAUAAGCAUCGGCUAACUCCGUGCCAGCAGCCGCGGUAAUACGGGGGAUGCAAGCGUUAUCCGGAAUCACUGGGCGUAAAGAGUCUGUAGGUGGUUUAAUAAGUCUGCUGUUAAAUAUUAAAGCUCAACUUUAAGCAAGCAGUGGAAACUAUUAUACUAGAGUAUGGUAGGGGUAGAGGGAAUUCCCAGUGUAGCGGUGAAAUGCGUAGAUAUUGGGAAGAACACCAGUAGCGAAAGCGCUCUACUGGGCCAUUACUGACACUCAGAGACGAAAGCUAAGGGAGCGAAAGGGAUUAGAUACCCCUGU
rnacentral:rRNA from 1 species